ACGGGAGGCAGCAGUGGGGAAUAUUGGACAAUGGGCGAAAGCCUGAUCCAGCGACGCCGCGUGAGUGAAGAAGUAUUUCGGUAUGUAAGGCUCUAUCAGCAGGGAAGAUAAUGACGGUACCUGACUAAGAAGCACCGGCUAAAUACGUGCCAGCAGCCGCGGUAAUACGUAUGGUGCAAGCGUUAUCCGGAUUUACUGGGUGUAAAGGGAGCGCAGGCGGUACGGCAAGUCUGAUGUGAAAGCCCGGGGCUCAACCCCGGUACUGCAUUGGAAACUGUCGAACUAGAGUGUCGGAGGGGUAAGCGGAAUUCCUAGUGUAGCGGUGAAAUGCGUAGAUAUUAGGAGGAACACCAGUGGCGAAGGCGGCUUACUGGACGAUAACUGACGCUGAGGCUCGAAAGCGUGGGGAGCAAACAGGAUUAGAUACCCUGGUA
rnacentral:rRNA from 1 species